GUACACUCCUGCGGGAGGCAGCAGUGGGGAAUAUUGGACAAUGGGCGCAAGCCUGAUCCAGCCAUGCCGCGUGAGUGAUGAAGGCCCUAGGGUUGUAAAGCUCUUUCACCGGUGAAGAUAAUGACGGUAACCGGAGAAGAAGCCCCGGCUAACUUCGUGCCAGCAGCCGCGGUAAUACGAAGGGGGCUAGCGUUGUUCGGAUUUACUGGGCGUAAAGCGCACGUAGGCGGACUAUUAAGUCAGGGGUGAAAUCCCGGGGCUCAACCCCGGAACUGCCUUUAAUACUGGUAGUCUUGAGUUCGAGAGAGGUGAGUGGAAUUCCGAGUGUAGAGGUGAAAUUCGUAGAUAUUCGGAGGAACACCAGUGGCGAAGGCGGCUCACUGGCUCGAUACUGACGCUGAGGUGCGAAAGCGUGGGGAGCAAACAGGAUUAGAAACCCUUGUAGUCCCA
rnacentral:rRNA from 1 species